rnacentral:lncRNA from 1 species
AUUGACUAGAAGCAGCUUACUUAGAAGAACAGAUCUUAGCUUACAGACCCCAAAGGCAAGGAGGGAGGACCCUAUACCCCUUUCUAGUUAUUCCUCCUGUUGACUGAAAAGACCCCUGAGUUUGAAUCUAUCGUCAACAGGGAUGGCACAGUCUUCAGGCAGCUGAAGGUCACAGUUGUUCAAACCCCAUCCUUGAGGCACUUGACAAGGUCAGAAGGCUUGAGAGAAUCUCACAAGGUGAAAAAGAAAAUCUUAGAAGCUAAUGAAUGCUUAACAAAAGCUUCUCUACGGAACUGAACUAGUUCAGAACCUGUUCUGGGAGACUGCACAGUUACCCAAGGUCAACCGCUGUUUUGGAUACUGGAGUCAAAGAAGGGCCCUCUUUGAGAGAAACCUGGGUGAAGAAGAAAGGAACCACACAGCCACCCACAGCAACAAGUGGGCCAAAGCACAAGCACAGAGACUGGAAAAGAAAAUGGAGACAGGGGAACAGGAAGAGAAGAGAAAACAAAACAAGUUGGUGGGAGCUAGAGUUUUUUCUAGAAAGAGGGCUGGGAAGCUCAAAACUCCAUUUUGAGGGUGGGUUUGACAUGCUUUAUGGGUAAUGACAUUUGGUUUAACAACUUACUUGGUCUGGUCAGAAACGAG